rnacentral:rRNA from 1 species
CCUACGGGAGGCAGCAGUGGGGAAUAUUGCACAAUGGGCGACACCCUGAUGCAGCCACGCCGCGUGAGUGAAGAAGUACUUCGUUAUGUAAAGCUCUUUCAGCAGGGACGAAAAUGAUGGUACCUGAGUGAGAAGCCCCGGCUAACUACGUGCCAGCAGCCGCGGUAAUAAGUAGGGUGCAAGCGUUCUCCGGAUUUACUGGGUGUAAAGGGAGCGUAGACGGUAUUGCAAGUAAGGAGUGAAAGGCGGGGGCUCAACCCCCGGACUGCAUUUGAAACUGUAAGGCGUGAGUGCAGGAGAGGGAAGUAGAAUUCCUGGUGUAGCGGUGAAAUGCGUAGAUAUCAGGAGGAAUACCAGUGGCGAAGGCGGCUUACUGGACUGUGACUGACGUUGAGGCUCGAAAGCGUGGGGAGCAAACAGGAUUAGAUACCCGAGUAGUC